UGCCAGCAGCCGCGGUAACACGGGGGGCGCAAGCGUUAUUCGGAAUUAUUGGGCGUAAAGCGCGUGUAGGCUGCGCGGAAAGUCAAAUGUGAAAGCCCGGGGCUCAACCUCGGAACUGCAUUCGAUACUCCCGUGCUAGAGUAAUGGAGAGGUAAGUGGAAUUCCUGGUGUAGCAGUGAAAUGCGUGGAUAUCAGGAGGAACAUCAAUAGCGAAGGCAACUUACUGGACAUUUACUGACGCUCAGACACGAAGGCUGGGGUAGCGAAAGGGAUUAGAUA
rnacentral:rRNA from 1 species